CCUACGGGAGGCUGCAGUGGGGAAUAUUGGACAAUGGGGGGAACCCUGAUCCAGCCAUGCCGCGUGUGUGAAGAAGGCCCUCGGGUUGUAAAGCACUUUCAGUGAGGAAGAACGCCUGGUGGUUAAUACCCAUCAGGAAAGACAUCACUCACAGAAGAAGCACCGGCUAACUCCGUGCCAGCAGCCGCGGUAAUACGGAGGGUGCGAGCGUUAAUCGGAAUUACUGGGCGUAAAGCGCGCGUAGGUGGCUUGAUAAGCCGGUUGUGAAAGCCCCGGGCUCAACCUGGGAACGGCAUCCGGAACUGUCAAGCUAGAGUGCAGGAGAGGAAGGUAGAAUUCCCGGUGUAGCGGUGAAAUGCGUAGAGAUCGGGAGGAAUACCAGUGGAGAAGGCGGCCUUCUGGACUGACACUGACACUGAGGUGCGAAAGCGUGGGUAGCAAACAGGAUUAGAUACCCGUGUAGUC
rnacentral:rRNA from 1 species